GGGAGCCACUGGGCUUCGGCAAUCAAAGGGCGGGGCUGGCUGGAUCCUGGGUCUGUUCCUUGGUGCGACCUCUUCGAGGACAGGAAGAAUCGAGAAGGAUUCCCAAGAGCUUGGAGGGUAUGCAGACUUUUCUAGUCUGUGCAGCCAUUUGCAGCUUACAAAAAAGGCUCAGAGCUCUCCAUCACCAUCAGAAAGAAGAGGAAGCUGCAGGCCCUUGGUGCCUGACUCUUGAGUCCAGCUCUCUCAAGAUUGCUGUCACAGCCCACAGCUGUGCAGAGCUUUGCAGUCUGUAGCUUGCAGGGGACUUUGUAUGUAAUAUCUCCAUUGAUUCACCUGG